GGCCACCCAUUGGGUUGAAAAAGUUUGAGACUCUUUCUUACUUGCCACCACUCACCACAGAGUCUUUGGCAAAGGAAGUAGAUUACCUUAUUAGGAAUGGAUGGGUUCCUUGCUUGGAAUUUGAGUUGGAGGUUAAUUUUCCUUCUGCCUCUUUCUCUUGUUUUAGAUGUUACUCACACAUACAUGAUUAUUUUGUAUUUAUCAUAAUUAUAGAAAAUUGUAAGAAAAUGUUAUUGACUAAGGAUUAUCCAUGGGAGAGAAAGGUGCUACAUAAAUAAAAGGAAAAACAAUAUCCAAAACACUUUUAUCAUUUUAUUCACAAAAUAAUAUUUUUGUCACAGAACUUCACACUCCAAUAAUAAAGUGAAAGUUGAGGUCUAUAAUUUAAAGCAAUAAAUUUACCUCUUUUCUUUAUAUCUAACUCCGAGUGAGACAUAUCUCAAAUGCUAGAGAAAAUGAGAUCUAGAGUAGGAGGAUAUUUUAAUCUUUUAAAUUGUGGGUACAAGAAUUACAUUGCAUUUAUUACUACUUAUUACAAUUUGGGUUGGUGUGCCAUUCCCUAUAUCACAUUGUAAUUUAAAACAUUAUACAUUUUACUAAUAGGGUUAUCAUUAUUGCAUUUGUUACUAUGAUUAUUGUAAUGUAAAACAUUAUACCUUGUAGUAAUAGGCAUAACACCAGUAUCACAAACUUUCUAACAGCAUUAUGUUAUUGACUUUAAUUUAUCAAUAACAUUAUUAAUCAUCCCAAUCAUAGCACAACUAUGCCAUAUAUAUCUCAUGAGACACCAUAUAUUUCCACCUAUGCUAUAGUACAACACAUCCUAAAUAUUAACAAUUUUUUUGGUACUACCAAUAUUAUUCCCACAUUUUGGGUAAGAUACUAAUUCUUUUUGGGAUGUACGAUUGUCUCACCCAACAAGUGUCACUCACGAGAAUUGAACCCUAACCUUUUGGUCAUUUUGGGAUCUAACGUAGUCUUACACUAGUAGAUCAAUGUCGUGUUGGUAAUAAAUGUUAACAAAUAAUGAAAAGAUGGUAUUAUAGAUUCUUAAUUAUGAACAUUGAUGGGUAAUUUGUUUGUUUAUUUUGCAUGCUAUGUGUGUGUAUAGCAUGGUUUUGUGUACCGUGAGCACAACAAAUCACCAGGAUACUAUGAUGGAAGAUACUGGACAAUGUGGAAGUUACCUAUGUUUGGAUGCACUGAUUCAGCACAAGUGUUGAAGGAACUUGAAGAGGCUAAGACGGAAUACCCAAAUUCCUUCAUUCGUAUCAUUGGAUUCGACAACAAGCGUCAAGUUCAGUGUGUCAGUUUCAUUGCCUACAAGCCCCCAAGUUUCUAAGUUUCUUAAAUUUGCAUGCAAUUUGUACUUAACCAUUGUCAUGAGAACUACCUUUUGUUUUUAAAUUCCAACCAUGUUUGUUUGUAAUUUUUGGUUUUUGAGGUUUCAUCCUGUACUUUGGUUUCUGAUUUCGGAUUUCAUCGAUGGAUGAGAACUUAUGAAUAAAAUGUGUCUUUUAUUGUCAAGAGAAACCCAUUAUCCUUUAUUUACUUGCAGAUGGGUUGAAAUUAUGCUUAUUAGAAGGAAAAAGCUAUGAGAUUGUCUAUAAAAUAAACAAGCAAGGAUAUAUCAAUAUAUGCAUUUUAUCAAAUUAAUAGUGGAUAUAUCU
rnacentral:lncRNA from 1 species